CCCGGAGCGCUCGGGGCGGAUCCCCCGGGAGUGGGAUCGGGCCAGGGCUGAGGGCGCAGGGCGCAGAAAGAUUUGGGAUGCAUUGAGAAGUUUUUGCAGCCUACCCCAGUGUGUGGUAAUGGACUCCAGACUUCACAUCUGAGUUCACUAAUCUGGACUGUGAUCUUACAUUAUCUUCACGAGUCAGAACAUAUCGUGGAGACUGAAGGAGGCCAGGAAGUGCUGACUUCCACAAAGGAAGAUUGUAACGGAGUAUUGAAACACCAAGACUCGGUACAGCGUGGAUUAUGAAGCCACCUUCUAAAGCAAUCUGGGACAGGACUGGUGCUUAAUGUUUUUGCUCAUAUUUUAAGCAUGUGUAGAAUAAUUAAAUUCUAAUUGAGAAUAAUUUAGGCUAUACAAAAUUCAUUCUAAUCACAGGAAAAUCAACAUAUGCUGAGAUUUAUUUGAUUCAUGCAAUUACUCAAAGGCUCAUUACUGUCACACACUUUUUUGUGUUUUGCUCUUUGCUUCUACCUGCAUUUCAAGUUAAUCAGAUCAUGUUCAGGCAGUGAUAAGUAUUUAGAGAUAUGAUGGUGGGAAAGGCAGACACAGAAGAUGUUUGGAAGGCAUGUUCAGGGAUAAUCCAAUAAUAGAAAGGAUGUAAUUGUGUUAAUUAUCUCAAGUGGCGCAAAGGUAUUGCUAGGAGAGGAGAAUAAGGUUGUUUUCUUCACAGACAGAAGCAGUGUCUUUGGUACUCAGUAAUUAUGUAGUGCUACAAAGACCAGGCUAGGCUGUUGCUCUAGAGGCUUGAUGAGGUCGGGCAGAUUUAUUUCUGUAAAGGCGUAACCAUGAAGGCUUCAGGUGGGCUGACAGGGACAUAAUGAAAUUCAACAAGUACAACUAAGUCCUGUAUCUGCAUGGGAGUCACCCCUGCAGUGACACAGGCUGGGGACUGACUGGCUGGGAGCAGCCCUGCUGAAAAGCAGUGGGGGAUCUAGGUGGGCAGAAAGCUGCACAGGAGCCUGCAGUGGGUCCUGGCAGCAAGGCAGGUCAGCAGUGUCCAGGGCUGUAUGAACAGCAGCAUGGCCAGGAGAUCGAGGGAAGUAACUUCCACCCUCCACUAUUCAUCACUUGGUGAAUUACAUACCUAGACAGCAUCCAGUGUUGGUCUCUCACCCCACCCCCAAAUUCAGGACAGACAACAAUAAACUGGAGCAAGUCUAGAGAAGGGCUUUUAGAUGGUCAGGGACUGGCUCAGUUGGGGCAAGGGAACCUAACAGCAGCCCUUGCAGUGGUUCCCAAGAGGUGGCCAAGAACAUGGAGCUAGGCUCCUCACAUUGCUGUGUGCUGGGAGCUUCAGAGAGCUAAACCAAAGGAGGUUUAGACUGGUUUUAAGGAAAAAUAUUUUUCCCCCAUGUGGAUGGUACCAGGAGCCUAGUGACACUCUUCAGAGUCAUUCCUUGGAGUCAGUCAAAACCUGACUGUUAAAAAGUAAUUUUAAAGGGCAAAAUAA
rnacentral:lncRNA from 1 species